AAUGAAGCCAAGGAUGAACCUUUGAUGUUUCCCAUUGCUCGGUUUAUUGUAACAUUAGAACCAGUCAAUUAGGGUUUUAUUGCUUUUUGUUUAUGUGUGAGAAUCAAAGUGAUGGCCUAGAACAUACGAGGUAAACACUCUUCUACUAAAUUAAACCCUCAUCCUGGAGCCAACCACUUCUGAAACUGAGUGGUUGCCUGGUAUCAUUCCUAUGUCUAGUUACCUUGCCCUCCCUUCCAAUGGCAGAACCUACUCAGCUGCUGUCCUCUGUGGAGGAUGUAUCUGAGAGCUGUGACAGAAGGCAAAACGAUGGAGAGCUGUGAGCAGAGAUUGGAGAGCAUCAGUCAUGACUAAAGCUCGAUCUGACACCUUCACAUACCCUAGGUGAGAAGAGAAGAGUAACUUAUAAAACACAGCAUCCAGAGCUGCUCUUCGGAGUCUCAUGAAGCAUAAAGUGAAAGGAGAUCCGGUGUCUGUCCAUUGCCAUCCGUUGUUUUCUUCAGGCUCCUCAGGACUGCUGACUGCUGCAGCUAGUGACUUUCUGGGUUUCAGCCUUCUGGACAUCUGGGAGCACAGUGGGGAUGAGCCACAGGAGUCCAUCAUGUUGGUGUGUUUGCCCUAUUUAUAGCCUACCUCCUGCUAAAGAGAGGACUGAAAGCACCUCACAAAACAGUAACAAGAAGAGAUAAAAAUAAACAAGUGGAAAAUUCCCGCAACAGGAGUGUUGAAACUGCACUGGAUGACGAUUUGGACACAGACAGGCAGACAUCUGCAAGUACUACUAACCUACAAGCAACAUACAUUCAAAUGGAAGGUCUAUGAAGGAAUAGUACCUAGGACUCAAAGGCAGUGUAUGCUAUAUGUUCAUGCUCUGGAGGCAGGGAGAUAUAGGCUCUUCAUCUCUUCAUGAACUCGCCAGUGCAUCUGACCUAAUAAAGAUCUG
rnacentral:lncRNA from 1 species